AGUGGCGCACGGGUGAGUAACACGUGACUAACCUACCCUGGAGUGGGGGAUAACUGAGGGAAACCUUAGCUAAUACCGCAUAACACCUACGGGUCAAAGGAGCAAUUCGCUUCAGGAGGGGGUCGCGGCCGAUUAGUUAGUUGGCAGGGUAAUGGCCUACCAAGACGAUGAUCGGUAUCCGGCCUGAGAGGGCGCACGGACACACUGGAACUGAAACACGGUCCAGACUCCUACGGGAGGCAGCAGUGGGGAAUUUUGCGCAAUGGGGGAAACCCUGACGCAGCAACGCCGCGUGGAGGAUGAAGUCCUUCGGGACGUAAACUCCUUUCGAUCGGGACGAUUAUGACGGUACCGGAAGAAGAAGCCCCGGCUAACUUCGUGCCAGCAGCCGCGGUAAUACGAGGGGGGCGAGCGUUGUUCGGAAUUAUUGGGCGUAAAGGGUGCGUAGGCGGUUUGGUAAGUCUUGUGUGAAAUCUCUGGGCUCAACUCAGAGCUUGCACGAGAAACUGCCGGGCUUGAGUAUGGGAGAGGUGAGUGGAAUUCCUGGUGUAGCGGUGAAAUGCGUAGAUAUCAGGAGGAACACCUGUGGCGAAAGCGGCUCACUGGACCAUAACUGACGCUGAUGCACGAAAGCUAGGGGAGCAAACAGGAUUAGAUACCCUGGUAGUCCUAGCCCUAAACGAUGACUGCUUGGUGUGACGGGUACCCAAUCCCGCCGUGCCGUAGCUAACGCGUUAAGCAGUCCGCCUGGGGAGUACGGUCGCAAGGCUGAAACUCAAAGGAAUUGACGGGGGCCCGCACAAGCGGUGGAGCAUGUGGUUUAAUUCGA
rnacentral:rRNA from 1 species